AAGCAGUGUGACAUGCCCGUUUGUUGUUGAACUCUGAUUAUUUUAUUUAAUAUUUAAUUGUUGGGAUAACGGGGUGUUACACUAGCU
rfam:Medicago truncatula strain A17 chromosome 3, whole genome shotgun sequence.